rnacentral:tRNA from 1 species
UAAGAUUGUAAUUGAGACUUCUAAUCUCUUAAAAGCUUUAAGCUACAUCUUUU